rnacentral:rRNA from 1 species
AUACGGAGGGGGCUAGCGUUGUUCGGAAUUACUGGGCGUAAAGCGCGCGUAGGCGGCCGGCCAAGUCGGACGUGAAAGCCCGGGGCUCAACCCCGGAGGUGCGUUCGAAACUGGCGGGCUCGAGACCGAGAGAGGUGAGUGGAAUUCCCAGUGUAGAGGUGAAAUUCGUAGAUAUUGGGAAGAACACCAGUGGCGAAGGCGGCUCACUGGCUCGGUACUGACGCUGAGGUGCGAAAGCGUGGGGAGCAAACAGGAUUAGAUACCCCAGUAGUCC